AUUGAACGCUGGCGGCAGGCCUAACACAUGCAAGUCGAGCGGUUGAAGGUAGCUUGCUCCUGGAUUCAGCGGCGGACGGGUGAGUAAUUCCUAGGAAUCUGCCUGGUCGUGGGGGAUAACGUCCAGAAACGGGCGCUAAUACCGCAUACGUCCUGAGGGAGAAAGCGGGGGAUCUUCGUACAUCACGCUAUCAGAUGAGCCUAGGUCGGAUUGGCUAGUUGGUGGGGUAAGGGCCUACCAAGGCGACGAACAGUAACUGGUCUGAGAGGAGGAUCAGUCACACUGGAACUGAAACACGGUCCAAACUCCUACGGGAGGAAGCAGUGGGGAAUAUUGGACAUUGGGGAAAAGCCUGAUCCAGACAGGCCGCGUGUGUGAGGAAGGUCUUCGGAUUGUAAAGCACGUUGAGUUGGGAGAAAGGGCAGUAGGUUAAUACCUUGCUGUUUUGACGGUACCAACAGAAUAAGCACCGGCUAACUUCGUG
rnacentral:rRNA from 1 species